rnacentral:rRNA from 1 species
AGAGUUUGAUCAUGGCUCAGAACGAACGCUGGCGGCAGGCUUAACACAUGCAAGUCGAACGCACCUUCGGGUGAGUGGCGCACGGGUGAGUAACGCGUGGGAACCUGUCCUUUGGUACGGAACAACACCGGGAAACUGGUGCUAAUACCGUAUAAGCCCCGAGGGGGAAAGAUUUAUCGCCAAAGGAGGGGCCCGCGUAGGAUUAGCUAGUUGGUGAGGUAACGGCUCACCAAGGCGACGAUCCUUAGCUGGUCUGAGAGGAUGAUCAGCCACACUGGGACUGAGACACGGCCCAGACUCCUACGGGAGGCAGCAGUGGGGAAUAUUGGACAAUGGGGGAAACCCUGAUCCAGCCAUGCCGCGUGAGUGAUGAAGGCCUUCGGGUUGUAAAGCUCUUUCGCACGUGACGAUAAUGACGGUAACGUGAGAAGAAGCCCCGGCUAACUUCGUGCCAGCAGCCGCGGUAAUACGAAGGGGGCAAGCGUUGUUCGGAAUUACUGGGCGUAAAGGGCGCGUAGGCGGUGCGCUAAGUCAGAUGUGAAAGCCCUGGGCUCAACCCGGGAAUUGCAUUUGAUACUGGCGUGCUCGAAUCCGGGAGAGGUUGGUGGAAUUCCCAGUGUAGAGGUGAAAUUCGUAGAGAUUGGGAAGAACACCGGUGGCGAAGGCGGCCNCUGGACCGGUAUUGACGCUGAGGCGCGAAAGCGUGGGGAGCAAACAGGAUUAGAUACCCCAGUAGUCC